AAAUUAAAGCAUAAAUUUGAUUUUUGAUGCAUAAAAUUUAAGAUUUUAAGAAAAUUAAUGUUUAAUUUUU
rnacentral:tRNA from 1 species